GCGGCAGCGACGCUUAUGCGUUGUUGGGUAGGGGAGCGUUCUGUAAGCCUGCGAAGGUGUGCUGUGAGGCAUGCUGGAGGUAUCAGAAGUGCGAAUGCUGACAUAAGUAACGAUAAAGCGGGUGAAAAGCCCGCUCGCCGGAAGACCAAGGGUUCCUGUCCAACGUUAAUCGGGGCAGGGUGAGUCGACCCCUAAGGCGAGGCCGAAAGGCGUAGUCGAUGGGAAACAGGUUAAUAUUCCUGUACUUGGUGUUACUGCGAAGGGGGGACGGAGAAGGCUAUGUUGGCCGGGCGACGGUUGUCCCGGUUUAAGCGUGUAGGCUGGUUUUCCAGGCAAAUCCGGAAAAUCAAGGCUGAGGCGUGAUGACGAGGCACUACGGUGCUGAAGCAACAAAUGCCCUGCUUCCAGGAAAAGCCUCUAAGCAUCAGGUAACAUCAAAUCGUACCCCAAACCGACACAGGUGGUCAGGUAGAGAAUACCAAGGCGCUUGAGAGAACUCGGGUGAAGGAACUAGGCAAAAUGGUGCCGUAACUUCGGGAGAAGGCACGCUGAUAUGUAGGUGAAGCGACUUGCUCGUGGAGCUGAAAUCAGUCGAAGAUACCAGCUGGCUGCAACUGUUUAUUAAAAACACAGCACUGUGCAAACACGAAAGUGGACGUAUACGGUGUGACGCCUGCCCGGUGCCGGAAGGUUAAUUGAUGGGGUUAGCGGUAACGCGAAGCUCUUGAUCGAAGCCCCGGUAAACGGCGGCCGUAACUAUAACGGUCCUAAGGUAGCGAAAUUCCUUGUCGGGUAAGUUCCGACCUGCACGAAUGGCGUAAUGAUGGCCAGGCUGUCUCCACCCGAGACUCAGUGAAAUUGAACUCGCUGUGAAGAUGCAGUGUACCCGCGGCAAGACGGAAAGACCCCGUGAACCUUUACUAUAGCUUGACACUGAACAUUGAGCCUUGAUGUGUAGGAUAGGUGGGAGGCUUUGAAGUGUGGACGCCAGUCUGCAUGGAGCCGACCUUGAAAUACCACCCUUUAAUGUUUGAUGUUCUAACGUUGGCCCCUAAUCGGGGUUGCGGACAGUGUCUGGUGGGUAGUUUGACUGGGGCGGUCUCCUCCUAAAGAGUAACGGAGGAGCACGAAGGUUGGCUAAUCCUGGUCGGACAUCAGGAGGUUAGUGCAAUGGCAUAAGCCAGCUUGACUGCGAGCGUGACGGCGCGAGCAGGUGCGAAAGCAGGUCAUAGUGAUCCGGUGGUUCUGAAUGGAAGGGCCAUCGCUCAACGGAUAAAAGGUACUCCGGGGAUAACAGGCUGAUACCGCCCAAGAGUUCAUAUCGACGGCGGUGUUUGGCACCUCGAUGUCGGCUCAUCACAUCCUGGGGCUGAAGUAGGUCCCAAGGGUAUGGCUGUUCGCCAU
rnacentral:rRNA from 1 species